UGGGGCAUGGCCAAGCGGUAAGGCACCCGGUUUUGAUCCGGUGAUCCCAGGUUCGAAUCCUGGUGCCCCAGCCA
rnacentral:tRNA from 1 species